GCGAGUUCCAGACCUCCGUUAUUUUAUAAAACCUUAAAGUUUUUCUGCGUAUUGUAUGUCCCCAAUACAGGGAGGAACGAUCAGCGACUAUGAGGUUUGGAUCAUGGUGGCUUUGGGAGAUAACAGGAAAUAAAGGUGUAAAACAUCUUAGAUAAAUCAAAGUAUAAAGUCUAAUUUUUUGGAAUA